GUUCGAUCAUAGCUCAGAGUUGAACGCUGGCGGGAUGCUUUACACAUGCAAGUCGAACGGCAGCACGGACUUCGGUCUGGUGGCAGUGGUGGCGAACGGGUGAGUAAUGUAUCGGAACGUGCCCUAGUAGCGGGGGAUAACUACGCGAAGCGUAGCUAAUACCGCAUACGCCCUUCGAAGCGGGGCCUUCGGGCCUCGCACUAUUAAACGGCCGAUAUCCGGAUUAGCUGAUUGGUGGGGUAACGGCUCACCAAGGCGACGAUCCGUAGCUGGUUUGAAGGACGACCAGCCACACUGGGACCGAGACACGGCCCAGACUCCUACGGAGGCAGCAGUGAAAUUUUGGACAAUGGAAACCUGAUCAGCCAUCCCCGCGUGUGCGAUGAAGGCCUUCGGUUGUAAAGCACUUUUGGCGGAAAGAAACAGCGGGAUAAUACCCCGUGCAACUGACGGUACCUGCAGAAUAAGCACCGGCUAACUACGUGCCAGCAGCCGCGAUACGGCAGGGUGCAAGCGUUAAUCGGAAUUACUGGGCGUAAAGCGUGCGCGAGCGGUUCAGAAAGAAAAGAAUGUGAAAUCCAGAGCUUAACUUUGGAACUUACAUUUUUAACUACCGAGCUAGAGUGUGUCAGAGAGUGGAAUUCGCGUGUAGCAGUGAAAUGCGUAGAUAUGCGGAGGAACACCGAUGGCGAAGGCAGCCUCGCAGAUAACACUGACGCUCAUGCACGAAAGCGGUAGGGAGCAAACAGGAUUAGAUACCUGGUAGUCCACGCCUAAACGAUGUCAACUAGCUGUUGGGGCCUUCCGGGCCUUGGUAGCGCAACUAACGCGUGAAGUUGACCGCCUGGGGAGUACGGUCGCAAGAUUAAAACUCAAAGGAAUUGACGGGGACCCGCACAAGCGGUGGAUGAUGUGGGUCGAAUUUCGUGCCAACACGAAAAACCUUACCUACCCUUGACAUGUCUGGAAUCCCGAAGAGGGCCAGGGUGCUCGCAAGAGAACCGGAACACAGGUGCUGCAUGGCUGUCGUCAGCUCGUGUCGUGAGAUGUUGGGUUAAGUCCCGCAACAGGCGCAACCCUUGUCAUUAGUUGCUACGAAAGGGCACUCUAAUGAGACUACCGGUGACAAACCGGAGAAGGUGGGGAUGACGUCAAGUCUCCCUUAUGGGUAGGGCUUCACACGUCAUACAAUGGUCGGAGACAGAGGUCGCCAACCCGCGAGGGGAGCCAAUCCCAGAAACCCGAAAUCCGUAGUCCGGAUCGCAGUCUGCAACUCGACUGCGUGAAGUCGGAAAUCGCCUGUAAUCGCGGAUCAACGUAAUAUGCGGUGAAUACAUUAGGGUCUUGUACACACCAACCGUCACACCAAAUUGGGUUUACCAGAAGUAGUUAGCCCUAGCCGUAAGGAGAGGCAGUUACCACAGUAGGGAUUCAUGACUGGGGUGAAGUCGUAACAAGGUAG
rnacentral:rRNA from 1 species